GGCACUGUGGCGGAGUGGUUAACGCGACAGAUUAGAAUUAUCACACAACGAGUAAUUCAAAGAUCUGUUCCUCUUGUAGGGCGCAUGUUCGAGUCAUGCCAGUGUCG